UACAGAGGUCUCAAGCGUUGUUCGGAUUCAUUGGGCGUAAAGGGUGCGUAGGCGGCGCGGUAAGUCGGGUGUGAAAUCUCGGAGCUUAACUCCGAAACUGCAUUCGAUACUGCCGUGCUUGAGGACUGGAGAGGAGACUGGAAUUCCUGGUGUAGCGGUGAAAUGCGCAGAUAUCAGGAGGAACACCGGUGGCGAAGGCGGGUCUCUGGGCAGUAACUGACGCUGAGGAACGAAAGCGUGGGUAGCAAACAGG
rnacentral:rRNA from 1 species